CAGCAUUCCUUGCAGUGCGGUGUUGUCGCCUCCACAUCGCCCGCGUACGUGCGAAGCUCUCACAGCCAUCUAUAGAUACUCUGGCAGCGCUGUCGCUACCAUCAUCACCGUCCAUCGCACACCUUACGGAUUCCGGCUCUUUGCUUUCCGUGCGUGGCCUCGCACGGAGGCACCUUCGCACUGCAGAAGCAGAGCGCGUCGGAGGGUAAAGCACGGACGCGAAGAUCCAAAACGCACCGAGGCUGAACCACGGAGGACCAGAUCACUUCCGUCUCGAUUCUUCCCGUCGCGCUCUACCCCCUCCCUUUUCACGCAGUCGCCAUCAUGCACGACUAUCAGUACAACCUGGAGGUGGUGAGCGUUGUCCCAGCCGAAGUGCUUACCGACACCGGGGACGAGCGUCGACACAAGCUCAUCUUUCACUGCACCCGGCGCGAUGCGAUAAUUCACUGCACCGCUGCACCGUCUACGUUCGAAGUGCGUAAUGCACCAAGCUUCGAGCUAGUUUCGAUCUCGCUUGUGGCGGUCGAUCGCACAGGCGGUAGCGAGCAUGUUGAGGCGAGCUCGUCGGACCCCCUUCUCAUUGGCGGUCCACAUCGCACGGUUGGAGCAGUAUGGGUGCCUUUAAGUUCCGUGUCCGCUGUGGAUUCCGCCGCCGAGGCAUCAGCUCCUGCCAGUCGUGUCUUUGUGGCCUGGUCGGUGACACGAAUGAAUGGCGAUUCAGUAAGAAAGGGUAAUCUAGAGCUGUCGCCAGGAAAGACGCCGCUUUUGACGCCAGACCCGACUGUCUCGCCCCUCAUUGCAUCGCCUUUCGUGCUAUCUGCUAUGGAAGACUGCCCGCCACCAAAUCACUUCAUCUCAACGCAACGGGGCGUAGCUUCGGAGCUCGAGAGCGCACAGGCAGAUGCACUCAAGGCCGCCACCGCAGCCACGGUCACGACGGUGACCACCACCGAUACGUUCCCCGUCACCAGUGGUGCUGGAGCCGGCUCAUCGCUUUCAUGUGCUGUCGUUGGAUUGUGUGUGCCACCGCCACACGGCGUCAUCUGCAGCGAGGAGGUUUUGUGGCCUCUUACCGCCUGCGAGGUGGAAUGGGCACGAGGGAGCAGAUUGACUGAAAGCACCAACGGACCUAUCGCAGACGAAGGCAGUGCUCUCUCUCUCCUCAUCUCUCGACUUGUUUUGGGCAGCAGCGUCACGAAUCCCGAAAUCAGUGCAGGAGGUCAAACGGGGCGCGUCUCCAUCGUGCUCGACGAGGGGCAGGAAACAAGCCAACAAUGCAUCGAGAACGACCGCUGCGGUGCCAGCUGUGCGUCAAGCAAACAUGCAGGGGGUCUCACAGCGCCGGGGCAAAAUCCAAUGCAUCGCGCUUUAGCUGCUGAUGUGGAGAGCCACGGCGCUGCCCCCUCCACGAGUGCGCUCUGCAAACCUGCGGAGCAGCAGGUUCUUGGCUGCCAAGAUGUGGUGCUAGAGCAGUUUCCAUUCCGCAGUGUGCCACUCACAUCAAAGGGCACGAUGGCUACUUCGUCACCACACUCGCCAGCAUGCACGCCGGCAGCCGAAUCAAGCGCAAACACCGCGCAUGCGGAAGAGGGUGCUGAGGACACCGGCGCCUCCGCCGACCACGUUGGUUCUUUGAAGCCCGACCCAGCACAUGCCGCAGCCGACGCGCGAACCACCACGUGGGUGGACUACUAUGCAUCCAGCACGCAGGCGAUCGGUGCUGUUCCUCUCCAGACUCGACUCCAGAAUUUGUACACAGUGCCGUCACCGCAGCUACUAGAUCGCUUGAAGGAUCAGUUGGGACCUCCGUCUUUGUCUGCGGCGUCGCCGACGGCAGAGCGGGCCCCAGUCACCGAUCACGGACUGUGGUAUGGGCGGAAUCGACAGAUCAACUUCUCUCAGUGUCGUGGGAGCAGCGGCUCUGCACAGGAGGAGAUUCGGCGCGAGCAAGAGGCGAAGCGGAGCGGCGCCGCGCUCCUUGCUGGCAUGCAGAUCGAUGAAGAAGACAACAGCGUGUGCUCGUCGGCUUCGCCGAUGGCUCGGGUGAGGGGACACUACGCGGAGGUGCGCACCGAAUCUGCCCUAGCGCUGCUGCGACGGCAGGCACUUGACAAACUGCAGCGACGGCGCAUCAGGUAGGGAGACUGCUUCGUCUACGCUCCCGUGAGGGACGAACACACGGAGGAGUCGAACAAGAAGCGUUGUCACGACGGGUCUCGGAAGAAUGAGGAUGAUAAGCCCUCCUUGUUUGCUCUGUGCCUUCACCAGGCUCGCGGCAGGUCAGCCGUGCGCCUCUCUCCGUGGUAUUCAUCCAGUCUUGUCGUCACCGCUGCCACGAAUGACUGGUGCUACCCGUAACUGCCCGUUUGUGCGCGCUACUCUCUCUGUCUCUCUGCCCCUUAUUAACGUCGUCCUAUUCCGUACCCGCCCGCACACGCACACCUCCGCCCUGUGCGCACGGACCCCCGUGUGCUCUACUUUCUCGCGACUUUAGCGAGCGAUAGAUACAAGUGAGAGAUAGAUACACUCUGUGACUCGACUCUUCAAGACACCCACUGCCUUAUUUUCGUUGUGCAGCUCUGCGGCCCCGCUUUUGUCUGUCUCUUUAUUUACCGGCGGGACCGCUGAUGUGCGUGUCCCGUGGCGCUGCCGCCUUCCCCACUUUCUGUGUGUCUGCCUCUGUCCAUCGCUGCGUAUCGCUGUCGCCGUAUGCGUUGGCGAAUGCUGCGACUUCUCACCCUGGCAGCGCUGCACGAAAAGCGCUUCCAGAUUUAGUUGAGGCGCACGUAUGAUGGCCUCGUUGUGGCCGGAGCGGAAGAUACCGAACAUGCGAACCGCAGCCGCAAGACAACGGCGACUUUCGGGGAGGGGGAUAGGGGCACAUGUUACUUCUCUCUCUCUCCUGCCCCUCCGACACCAUCAUUCACUGGCUCUCGGGCCCUCUUUCCGCAUGCGUACCGGAUGGGUGUGCAGCACCCGCAGCGGUGA
rnacentral:misc_RNA from 1 species